rnacentral:rRNA from 1 species
GACGAACGCUGGCGGCGUGCUUAACACAUGCAAGUCGAACGGAGUGGCGAACGGGUGAGUAUUACGUGAGUAACCUGCCCUCAACUGUGGGAUAAGCCUGGGAAACUUGGUCUAAUACUUCAUAUUUGGGGAUGGGCUCGCGGCCUAUCAGCUUGUUGGGGGGGUGCUGGCCUACCAAGGCGGUGCGGGGUAGCCGGCCGGAGAGGGUGGUGGGGCACAUUGGGCCUGAGGUACGGCCCAGAGUCCUACCGGAGGCAGCAGUGGGGGAUAUUGCACAAUGGGCGCAAGCCUUAUGCAGCUACGCCGCGUGAGGGAUGAAGGCUUUCGGGUUGUAAACCUCUUUCGGUACAGGACGGGUAUGUGCAGAAGAAGCGCCGGCUAACUACGUGCCAGCAGCCGCGGUAAUUC